UACGUAGGGGGCAAGCGUUGUCCGGAAUUAUUGGGCGUAAAGAGCGUGUAGGCGGUCCGGUAAGUCCGCUGUGAAAGUCCAGGGCUCAACCCUGGAAUGCCGGUGGAUACUGCCGGGCUAGAGUCCGGAAGAGGCGAGUGGAAUUCCUGGUGUAGCGGUGAAAUGCGCAGAUAUCAGGAAGAACACCCGUGGCGAAGGCGGCUCUCUGGGACGGUACUGACGCUGAGACGCGAAAGCGUGGGGAGCGAACAGG
rnacentral:rRNA from 1 species